rnacentral:lncRNA from 1 species
AGUCGCCAAGAUGAGGACAUACAAGUAAGUCCUAUUUCUCUCACUGACGUCUUCUCUCAUAAAGAGAUAUAACAGGGCUGUCUGAAGUUUGUUUAAGGCGGAAAGCAUGCGAGCACAGGACAGCACGUGUGUUGACCCGUUGGGAGUAAAUCUUUACGUGUGCCCGUCUGACCACUUCUAUUGGGUGCCAGAUCAGUUGAGCAAAGGUUCUCAAGAUGAAGAUCAGACAUUUUAUAGGAACUAUGAAGGAGAGAUGCGCAAAAAAGUUGUGGAAGAGUCACGUCUCCAAUGUGAACGCAGUUGUUUUAAUAGGAAACGGAUAUUAGGCCUAAUGAUGACUUUAGCGGGCUGAAGAGAAACGUGACCAUUAACCACAGAGCAGAUGAAAACUGAUACCAAUGUUCUCAAAAGAUGAGUGAUGUUUCGGAGGUGCUGCGUUGUUCUUUGAUGUGAGGAAGGAAGGUUGAGAAAGAGAAAGCUGUCCAGCACAAGCCACCCUCAUUAGUGUCCAGCGCCCGAAGACACAGGUCACAAAACCCAAUGAACUGGCCAUUUGAUUCAGCUCUGCAGACACUCAGCCCUAAUGCUGCGGUCCGCUCUGACAGCACAUCAUACGCAACACUCAAAGCAGCUUGAAUAACCCUUGGACCGCAUACGGAGUGCAUUAUUUUUUAUGACGAAACCGCUAUAGGGUCCAACUUCUCAACCUGCUUGUAGAUUACAUUCAUUCAAUAAAUUGUGCAUUUUUGAUUUUCUCAACAAAAAAAA